rnacentral:lncRNA from 1 species
UGCCAAUGGGCUAAAAAACCCCACAGUCGGGCCUUCCUGGAAUGCAGCAAAGACAACAGCGGUGUCGCCCACCAGGUGAGUGUUACAGCACAGCCAGGAUGCCUUGGACAUCGUUUGGUGCAGUAUCAGCUCGUACGUAGCUUGGAAUCAAAGACUUCUGUUGUCACACCUCUAGGAGAUGAAAUGAAGCCAAUUUGUCAGCCUUGUACAUGGAAGACUUUUAAAACAGCUGUGUGAACCUACAAAGGUUUUCUGUCUGAAAUCCAUGCUGUGUCUCGAAAGAAUCUGACAUUUUGAUGUAAGAGCUCAAAACGUGAGGAAAAGAACCACCAAACUCUUGCUAAAUGUGUGGUGGAAUAAUUUCCAGUUGCCUUCAACUCUGUUUGAUUGAAUUCAGAGUAUCGUAUAAAAAGAAAUGUUAAAAUGUUUUUCCACAGUACUGCAAACUGCAUUGGUCACAGACCUUGUGGUUUUUUGUUUGUUUUCUUUUCCCCUGUGUACCAUUGGCAGACACAGUUGCUUCUGAUAAGACUGUUCUAAAGUGGAUGUAGUGGAAGCAGUGAUGUUUGUUUUAAAUUCUGUUUAUUUGCUGAAAGGGACACUUCGGCACAAGAUAAUUUUGGUCAGCUGUGAGGGGGAGCUGGUUAGUUCGGGAAAGACAACUGCUUUCCUUGUUUUCUCUUGCAGCACUGAAAUAGGCAGUAAGAGCCAAACAACCACAACCUUAAGGGAAACUUCAGAGAAAAUUUCCACGUAUACUGAGAUCAGAAAUGGUGAAAGCAGACAAACUCCUAACGGGAGCUCUUCCCUGGAAACUGUGCCACAGCAUGGAGAUGGGUAAGAAGUUGAGAAAGGCUGGUCUAUAUUGCUGAACAUAAGGCAUAACCCGGUUUUUUGCUUAGAUAUGUUAUAUACCUGCUAGUGGUCUCAAACAGAUGGGAUCUCUGCAGUCAUGGUCCUGGGCUGCUCUCCAAGAGCAUCAUCUGUUGGCUAGGCUGAAACUUGUCAUUUUUUUUUCUGUUCCUUCCUCAGUGAAGAUAGAGGUAGAAAUCUUCCCAGCUUUAUAUCCUGGUGAAAAAAAAAAGUCUAGCAUGCUUGAGAAAAGGUAGAGUCUGGUAGAGACUAUAUUGAUCAUUCAGCUGAGGCCCAUAAAUAUAUCCUUGUAUGUCAUUGCAGGGACAGCCUGACUACAAUGCACUCAUUGUGCUUAGGG